GGAGUUAGCCGGUGCUUCUUCUGUGAGUGAUGUCCUUCCUGCCGGUUAUUGACCCGCAGGCCUUCUUCCUCACUGAAAGUGCUUUACAACCCGAAGGCCUUCUUCACACACGCGGCAUGGCUGGAUCAGGGUUGCCCCCAUUGUCCAAUAUUCCCCACUGCUGCCUCCCGUAGGAGUCUGGGCCGUGUCUCAGUCCCAGUGUGGCUGAUCAUCCUCUCAGACCAGCUACGGAUCGUCGCCUUGGUGAGCCGUUACCUCACCAACCAGCUAAUCCGACAUAGGCUCAUCCGAUAGCGCGAGGCCCGAAGGUCCCCCGCUUUCCCCCGUAGGGCGUAUGCGGUAUUAGCCUGGGUUUCCCCAGGUUAUCCCCCACUACCGGGCAGAUUCCUAUGCAUUACUCACCCGUCCGCCGCUCGCCACCAGGGAGCAAGCUCCCCGUGCUGCCGCUCGACUUGCAUGUGUAGCUCGCCGCCACGCGUCAUCUGAGCAUAAUACAACUACUCGA
rnacentral:rRNA from 1 species